rnacentral:rRNA from 1 species
UGGGGAAUUUUGCACAAUGGGGGAAACCCUGAUGCAGCAACGCCGCGUGAUUUAGAAGGCCUUCGGGUUGUAAAAAUCUUUUCUAUGGGAAGAAACUGACAGUACCAUAGGAAUAAGGACCGGCUAAUUACGUGCCAGCAGCCGCGGUAAUACGUAAGGUCCGAGCGUUGUCCGGAAUCAUUGGGCGUAAAGGGUACGUAGGCGGGUAAGCAAGUUAGAAGUGAAAUCCUAUAGCCCAACUAUAGUAAGCUUUUAAAACUGCUCAUCUUGAGGUAUGGAAGGGAAAGUGGAAUUCCUAGUGUAGCGGUGAAAUGCGCAGAUAUUAGGAGGAAUACCGGUGGCGAAGGCGACUUUCUGGCCAUAACCUGACGCUGAGGUACGAAAGCGUGGGUAGCAAACAGG